GCCCAGGUGGCGGAAUUGGUAGACGCGCUAGAUUCAGGUUCUAGUAAACGUAAGUUUGUGGAAGUUCGAGUCUUCUCCUGGGCACCA
rnacentral:tRNA from 1 species